UACGUAAGUGGCGAGCGUUAUCCGGAAUUACUGGGCGUAAAGCGUGCGUAGGCGGUUUAGUGUUUGGGAAUUGAAAGCCCGGGGCUCAACUCCGGAUCCGGUUCCCAAACUGCUAGACUCGAGAGUAUCAGAGGAGAGCGGAAUUCCCGGUGUAGCGGUAAUAUGCGUAGAUAUCGGGAGGAACACCAGUGGCGAAGGCGACUUUCUGGUCUGCAACUGACACUGAGGCGCGAAGGCGUGGGGAGCGAACAGG
rnacentral:rRNA from 1 species